rnacentral:misc_RNA from 1 species
AAGACUUGGGAGAAUUUCACUUUGGAAGUCCUUUCGCUGCUGCCUCCCUCUUCUUGUUUGGCCCCUCCUUGGCUGAAUUGGCAAUGAAGCUGGACAUGCCGCUUCUUCCUUUAGGACCCUGGUCUUACAAAAGUACGGUUCUGCCUUUGUCUCCUUAAGUUUUAAUGUCAUAGCCUCGAAGUAGUCAAUCCCAUCAGAAAGA